AUUGAACGCUGGCGGCAGGCCUAACACAUGCAAGUCGAACGAGUGGCGGACGGGUGAGUAAUGUCUGGGAAACUGCCCGAUGGAGGGGGAUAACUACUGGAAACGGUAGCUAAUACCGCAUACCAUCGGAUGUGCCCAGAUGGGAUUAGCUAGUAGGUGGGGUAACGGCUCACCUAGGCGACGCUCCCUAGCUGGUCUGAGAGGAUGACCAGCCACACGGGAACUGAGACACGGGCCAGACUCCUACGGGAGGCAGCAGGGGGGAAUAUUGCACAAUGGGGGCAAGCCUGAUGAAGCCAUGCCGCGUGGAGGAAGAAGGCCUUAGGGUUGUAAAGUACGUUCAGCGAGGAGGGGUUACUCGCAGAAGAAGCACCGGCUAACUCCGUGCCAGCAGCCGCGGUAAUAC
rnacentral:rRNA from 1 species